AGGACGAACGCUGGCGGCGUGCUUAACACAUGCAAGUCACGGGGGCUCGCAAGGGCAACCGGCGAACGGGUGCGUAACACGUGAGCAACCUGCCGAUCUGAGGGGGAUAGCCGGCCCAACGGCCGGGUAAUACCGCAUACGUUCUUUUGGCCUCCUGGCUGAGAGAAGAAACCUCCGGGGCAGAUCGAGGGGCUCGCGGCCUAUCAGCUAGUUGGCGGUGUAAUGGACCACCAAGGCGACGACGGGUAGCUGGUCUGAGAGGAUGGCCAGCCACAUUGGGACUGAGAGACGGCCCAGACUCCUACGGGAGGCAGCAGUGGGGAAUCUUGCGCAAUGGCCGAAAGGCUGACGCAGCGACGCCGCGUGUGGGAUGAAGCAUUUCGGUGUGUAACCACUGUUGCCGGGACGAACAGCGCUUUUCGAGGCGCCUGACGGUACCGGUGAGGAGCGACCGGCUAACUCCGUGCCAGCAGCCGCGGU
rnacentral:rRNA from 1 species